UUAAGAACAAAAGAAUUAGCAUUUACAACAGAUGCUUAGGCACCAAUAACAGCAUCCGAUUAAUGGAACUUCUCAAAAUUAUGGCACUUCUAUCCAUGCCACAAAUGUAUUGUGGACAAUUCCUUCUCGAUAGAUGAACCCAGCCAAAAGGACACAAGUUUAUCCAAGAUUCCUUCAAAUAUUGAAAUCCUGGAAAAAAAUUGCAAGCUUGUUCUAUUGUGACGAGGAGAUAUCAUGAUUUUUUCCAGUUUAUUGUCAACAUCUGAAGAAGCUCUCUGACAAUGUUGAAAGAGAAAG
rnacentral:misc_RNA from 1 species